GAGUAUAUGCUUAUAAAAUAACACUUAUUUUAUUAACAACAAUAUGUUUAUACAAAGUUUAAAAACUAUGAGAUUACAAGAGAUUUAUGACACUAAUCCCAACACAAAGUGAUAAUUAAUUGAAGUAAAAGACGAACUAAAACUCCAAAUCUCUUCAAUGAAAUGAAGAACCUCCAAAAACGAAUCUCCCAUGUGAUUAAUCAUAUCGAUUAUCAACUCGCAAUCAUGAAAAAUAGUGCAAUCACCCACCUCAUUCUAGCAAACUAACUUUAGUCUCCCCACUGUCGCAUGCGCUUUAGCACAAAAAUAAAAUAAGCAACUUGAAAGGAACUCAUACCCAAUCACUUGACCUUGAAAGAACCAACAAGAAAUACCAAGCCAAUUCCUGUAAUGUCAACCCCCUCUCAAUGAGAGGCAUCCAUAUACAGAACUAAGGUACCAGAUCGACCAAAAAAACUCAAGAAAGACACGCCCUAACCGUCCUUCAACACCCAACCUCUAUUAACCAAUUGCUGAAAAUCCAUGUCCCUCCAGGUAGGAAUAAGAUCUUUCAAGAUCCUCCUUGUCCUAUAUCACCCAAAGAGGGCAUGCUCAGUGAACAUUUCAGCCGACUUAUACAUUGGACAAAGAGGGGGAACAUCAAUAUAAUGUCACCAAAGAUUAAGACGAGUCAGAAGGAAAUUAUGAAAAGCCCUCCAGAUGAAAUGCAUGACCUUGGCCAGAACCUUUAAACUCCACGAAUUCUUCCACCAACUGGACCUGCCGCACAUAUUCAACGAAGAUCUAGAAUCAAUACACUGGAGAGCAACCACAUACUGCUCUUAAACAAAUAUCCAACCCCAAUGAUCAAAUGCCACCUAUCUCACCACUCUAACCUUCAUAAAGGAAUGUUCAAAAUCACAUCCCAAUCAACUGGGCUAAAAAUAAAUUAUUGACAAUAGCCUCAUCCCACCUACAAUCAUGAUCAAUCAAAGAAGAAACAACCAUCUCCAAUCUCCCAAAAUUCGACGUAACAGCUCGAAAUGAAAGUGGAUAAGGAUUCCAAAGAUCAUAAAAAACCCAUAUCAAAACCUCAUUCCCAAUAUCUUUCCUAUAGACCAUUUUCAGGAAACUCAGCCCCUAAACAAAUCCCUUCCAGAAAUAGGAGAUGUUAGAUCUUAACCAUCGACUUUCUGCUUUUCAUGGGUGUGUUGGUGAGGAUCCACACAAACAUCUCAAAGAGUUCCACAUUGUGUGUGAUGGGAUGUGGCCCCAUGGUGUGAUUGAGGAGCAAUUGAACUUGAGAGCCUUCCCUUUCUCCCUCAAGGAUGAUGCAAAGGAUUAGCUCUACUAUCUACCUUCUGGGAGUGACACCACCUGGACGGAUCUGGAGAAGAAGUUCCUAGAAAAAUUCUUCCCAACCUCCCCUGCAGCCAGAAUCAAGAAAGAAAUUUACAGUAUUUUGCAAGAUCUAGGGGAGUCCUUAUACAAGUAUUGGGAAAGGUUUAAGCGCUUCUACGCUGGCUUCCCCAACCAUCAGAUUUCAUAUCACCUCCUCAUCCACUACUUCUAUGAGGGUAUGCUUCAACAGGAUAAAAAUAACAUCGAUACAACAACUGGUGGCAUAUUGGUGAAUAAGACCCCCACUGAGGCCAAAGAGUUGAUUUCCACCAUAGUUGAGAACAAUCAACAGUUCAUUACAAGGGACCACAUCACUCAGCCAACCACAUCUACAAUAGCAAGGUGGCGGGUUGUACAAUAACACCCAUUGGAGAAAUAAGAGAUACUAAGGCCCAAUCAAAUUAGUAUGCCUUUGGAGAACAUGGUGAAGAGCCUAGCUGAAUCCAUCAUGGAAAUCCAAAAGAACUAGGAGCUAUUCCAGCAGACCACUUCCAGUCACAUCCAGAGUAUGACUACUCAGAUAUCCCAACUGACCGAUGCGACCAGUCGACUAGACACUCAGUAUGGGAAGCUUCCUUUCCAACCUAUGUCCAAUGUGUGUAAUGUUAGUGUCAUCUCUACCGUUAGAUGCAUUAAGACCUUCCAUAUGCCUAACUUAGAGCCAGUGAUUGAGUCAGUUGAAGUUGUAAAUGCUUAGGAUAGAAGACGUGGGUAUGUUUUGAUCCACCUCUUAAUUUGAAUUGUUACAUACAUGUUGUGAUAAGAUGAAGAAUCAUGCAACGGAAGCAAUCAGAAUCAAUAAGUAUUCUAAUUACUUUUAA